AGGCUAUACACGACAGGUAACCUCGACCAGGCUAUACACGACAGGUAACCUCAACCAGGCUAUACACGACAGGUAACCUCGACCAGGCUAUACACGACAGGUAACCUCGACCAGGCUAUACACGACAGGUAACAUCAACCAGGCUAUACACGACAGGUAACAUCAACCAGGCUAUACACGACAGGUAACAUCAACCAGGCUAUACACGACAGGUAACAUCAACCAGGCUAUACACGACAUGUAACCUCGACCAGGCUAUACACGACAGGUAACCUCAACCAGGAUAUACACGACAGGUAACAUCAACCAGGCUAUACACGACAGGUAACCUCAACCAGGCUAUACAGGGCAGGUAACCUCGACCAGGCUAUACACGACAGGUAACAUCAACCAGGCUAUACACGACAGGUAACAUCAACCAGGCUAUACACGACAGGUAACCUCGACCAGGCUAUACACGACAGGUAACCUCAACCAGGCUAUACACGACAGGUAACCUCGACCAGGCUAUACACGACAGGUAACCUCGACCAGGCUAUACACGACAGGUAACCUCGACCAGGC